ensembl:rRNA 5S_rRNA 5S ribosomal RNA
GCUUACGGUCAUGCCACUCUAAACACGCCCGAUCUCGUAUGAACUCGGAAGCAAAGCAGAGCAAACUUGGAUGGAAGAUCACCUGGGAGGGAAUACCAGGUGCUGUAAGCA